GCCUUUGUAGUGAAACGGAUUAUCACACCGACCUUCUAAGUCGAGGUUUCUGGUUCGAGUCCAGACUGAGGCA
rnacentral:tRNA from 1 species